CCCCAAGAGCAGAAAGAUGAAAGACAAAGGCCUGGGAUUUGCAAUAAGUUCCUGAGGCUGUUCUACGGAGUUGUUGUUUUUUUUUUUAAGAAGCAUCAGAGAGGCAGUAAGUGGUGCUUUGCCUAGGAACUUGCAUUCUGGUUCAAGCAACUCUGAGAGGAUCAAAUCCAGAAUGUUCAAACUAUUCAACUGCAACUACUGCUGUCAAACACCAAAUCUCAUGAGGAUUUGACAUAAACAACUAGUUCAAGUAACCAAAUAAAAAUGUCGGACAACCUAA